rfam:Mesocricetus auratus contig191428, whole genome shotgun sequence.
UUAAAGGCCCUUUUCAGGGCCACCACAUUUUCUUGAAGGAGCUG